GUGCUCGCUUCGGCAGCACAUAUACUAAAAUUGGAACGAUACAGAGAAGAUUAGCAUGGCCCCUGCACAAGGAUGACAUGCAAAUGAGGUUAGAAGUAUUCUGUCCUCUU
ensembl:snRNA U6 U6 spliceosomal RNA